rfam:Basidiobolus meristosporus CBS 931.73 K493scaffold_1245, whole genome shotgun sequence.
GCAUACUUGGUUUAGUGGUAUAAUUACCGCCUGCCACGCGGUAGACCGGGGUUCGAUUCCCCGAGUAUGCA